rnacentral:rRNA from 1 species
UACGGAGGGUGCAAGCGUUAAUCGGAAUCACUGGACGUAAAGCGCAUGUAGGCUGUUUAGUAAGUCAGGGGUGAAAUCCCACGGCUCAACCGUGGAACUGCCUUUGAUACUGCUAAACUUGAAUUCGGGAGAGGGUGGCGGAAUUCCAGGUGUAGGAGUGAAAUCCGUAGAUAUCUGGAGGAACAUCAGUGGCGAAGGCGGCCACCUGGACCGAUAUUGACGCUGAGAUGCGAAAGCGUGGGUAGCAAACAGGAUUAGAUACCCUUUAGUCC